GUGUCAGCAGCCGCGGUAAUACGUAGGGUGCAAGCGUUAAUCGGAAUUACUGGGCGUAAAGCGUGCGCAGGCGGUUUGAAAAGUCAGCUGUGAAAGCCCCGGGCUCAACCUGGGAACUGCGGUUGAAACUCUCAAGCUAGAGUGCGUCAGAGGGGGGUGGAAUUCCACGUGUAGCAGUGAAAUGCGUAGAGAUGUGGAGGAACACCAAUGGCGAAGGCAGCCCCCUGGGAUGACACUGACGCUCAUGCACGAAAGCGUGGGGAGCAAACAGGAUUAGAUACCCUGGUAGUCCACGCCCUAAACGAUGUCGACUAGCCGUUGGAGAUUUCGGUUUCUGGUGGCGCAGCUAACGCGUGAAGUCGACCGCCUGGGGAGUACGGUCGCAAGAUUAAAACUCAAAGGAAUUGGCGG
rnacentral:rRNA from 1 species